rfam:Basidiobolus meristosporus CBS 931.73 K493scaffold_9, whole genome shotgun sequence.
AUGCAUAUGGCCCAAUGGAUAAGGUGCCUGACUACAGAUCAGGAGAUUCCAGGUUCAAUCCCUGGUGUGCUUG